GGGCUCUUGGCACAGGGGUAGCGCGCACGCUUCGCAUUAUGUAAGCAAAUGCGUGAGGUCGUGGGUUCAAUUCCCACAGUGUCCA